GGUCGCGUGGCCCAGUGGUUAAGGCACUUGCUUUACAGCUUUUCCAAAGUGAUAUCGCAAGGGAUCGCAGGUUCGAGCCCUGCCGCGAUCA